CUACGGGUGGCUGCAGUGGGGAAUAUUGGACAAUGGGCGAAAGCCUGAUCCAGCCAUGCCGCGUGUGUGAAGAAGGCCUUCGGGUUGUAAAGCACUUUCAGUGGGGAAGAAAGCCUUGGGGCUAAUACCCUCGAGGAAGGACAUCACCCACAGAAGAAGCACCGGCUAACUCCGUGCCAGCAGCCGCGGUAAUACGGAGGGUGCGAGCGUUAAUCGGAAUUACUGGGCGUAAAGCGCGCGUAGGCGGUCUGAUAAGCCGGUUGUGAAAGCCCCGGGCUCAACCUGGGAACGGCAUCCGGAACUGUCAGGCUAGAGUGCAGGAGAGGAAGGUAGAAUUCCCGGUGUAGCGGUGAAAUGCGUAGAGAUCGGGAGGAAUACCAGUGGCGAAGGCGGCCUUCUGGACUGACACUGACGCUGAGGUGCGAAAGCGUGGGUAGCAAACAGGAUUAAUACCCGGGUAGUC
rnacentral:rRNA from 1 species